rfam:Cajanus cajan CcLG04_449, whole genome shotgun sequence.
UUUUUUGCGGAUGUAGCAUCAUCAAGAUUCACAUGCAAACGCAGGUGGGUGGGACUGUGAUGCAAUCUAAGGGAUGUGCCAACCGAGCCAUAGGUCUUUUGAAGUGAGAAUCUUGAUGAUGCUGCAUCAGCCAUAAA